GAGUUUUGAUCAUGGCUCAGGAUGAACGCUAGCGGCAGGCUUAACACAUGCAAGUCGAGGGGCAGCGGGGUGUAGCAAUACACUGCCGGCGACCGGCGCACGGGUGCGUAACGCGUAUGCAACCUACCCAUAACAGGGGCAUAACACUGAGAAUUUGGUACUAAUUCCCCAUAACAUUCGAAGAGGUCAUCUCUUUGGGUU
rnacentral:rRNA from 1 species